rnacentral:rRNA from 1 species
UAACGAAUCUUCCCCAAUGCGCGAAAGCGUGAGGGAGCAAUGCCGCGUGCGGGACGAAGCCCUUCGGGGUGUAAACCGCUAAAACCAUCAGGAAAGCACUGAUCCGGUGGUGAUAAGGAGCGACUAACUCUGUGCCAGCAGUCGCGGUAAUACAGAGGCUCCAAGCGUUAGGCGGAAUCACUGGGCUUAAAGCGUGUGUAGGCGGCCCUUCAAGUGCUUUGUGAAAGCCCACGGCUCAACCGUGGAAUUGCUUGGCAUACUGGAGGGCUUGAAUCAUCUAGGGGCGAGUGGAACUGACGGUGGAGCGGUGAAAUGCGUAGAUAUCGUCAGGAACGCCAAAGGCGAAAGCAGCUCGCUGGGGAUGAAUUGACGCUGAGACACGAAAGCUAGGGUAGCGAACGGGAUUAGAUACCCCCGUAGUCC